AGAAGUCAAGUCAUUAUGGUCUAAAUUUAUUGGGCUACACAUGCGCUACAAAAUUAAAAACAAAGAGUUAUAAUAGCGAAAUCUAAAAUAAAUCUUUAAAAAUUAAUUUACUAUGAAUUGCAAAUUGAAACUCAUUUGCAUGAAAAUGGAAUCGUUAGUAAUCGUAAAUUA
rnacentral:rRNA from 1 species